rnacentral:misc_RNA from 1 species
AUUUCAGUAGCUUCUCACAAUCGUAUAUAAAUAGGUGUCAAGCAAAUCAAUAAAGCAAUUUUUCGUUCUUUCAUUUUUAGCUUCUCUGCAUUCUUUGUGCACUGCCAUUUGUUGUAUCUAACCACUAAUCAAGGAUGGCUGUGUAUGCAUAACGAGAAAGGGAAGCAAGCAGUGAGUAAAAGGUAUCUUCAAUCAUCAUUCACACUAAUUUGGGUCAAAAUCUUGACGACAUUCUUUAAAAAAAAAAUGAUACAUUCAUAUAUUAAUAACAACACAAGAAAAUGUUGCCAUCUAUAUAUCACAAGGAGAAAUGCUAUGGCAUUCUAUUUGUGACCAUCCUUCCUUCACAUUUGAGUAUAUGCAGAGCAAAUCAAGCACACAAAAUCCUCAACUCACAAGUCAAUCCAGCAGAAAGCUCUAAAACACUUCAGCUA